GAUGAACGCUGGCGGCGUGCCUAAUACAUGCAAGUCGAGCGAACAGAUGAGGAGCUUGCUCCUCUGACGUUAGCGGCGGACGGGUGAGUAACACGUGGAUAACCUACCUAUAAGACUGGGAUAACUUCGGGAAACCGGAGCUAAUACCGGAUAAUAUAUUGAACCGCAUGGUUCAAUAGUGAAAGACGGUUUUGCUGUCACUUAUAGAUGGAUCCGCGCCGCAUUAGCUAGUUGGUAAGGUAACGGCUUACCAAGGCAAAGAUGCGUAUCCGACCUGAACGGGUGAUCGGCCACACUGGAACUGAGACACGGCCCAUACUCCUACGGGAGGCAGCAGUAGGGAAUCUUCCGCAAGGGGCGAAGGCCUGACGGAGCAACGCCGCGGGAGUGAUGAGGGUCUUCGGAUCGUAGAACUCUGUUUUUAGGGAGGAACAAAUGUGUAAGUAACUAUGCACGUCUGGACGGUACCUGGUCAGAAAGCCACGGCUAACUACGUG
rnacentral:rRNA from 1 species